UACGUAGGGUCCGAGCGUUAAUCGGAAUUACUGGGCGUAAAGCGUGCGCAGGCGGUUUUGUAAGCCAGAUGUGAAAAGCCCCGGGCUCAACCUGGGAACUGCAUUUGGGACUGCAAGGCUGGAGUACGGCAGAGGGAGGUGGAAUUCCACGUGUAGCAGUGAAAUGCGUAGAGAUGUGGAGGAACACCGAUGGCGAAGGCAGCCUCCUGGGCUAGUACUGACGCUCAUGCACGAAAGCGUGGGGAGCAAACAGG
rnacentral:rRNA from 1 species